CCACUUUGAAGAUUAGCUGAAAGGUCUGAAGGAGAACACGAGCUGCUCUUCUUCAACCACACUGUCACAUCAGGCUCAGAGGAUGUAAAGAAGAGUGGAUGAAGAUGAUGAUGAUGGAAGCUGACUCCCUCUGUCCCAGUGACUCUACAGGAAGUUCCAACUCAGAGUGUGGGGGGAUAUGACUGUGGAUGAAAUCCUCAUCCUCCUGAAGCCAUGGCAAUUCUCCAGUAUCUACAACAGCCAGGAUUUCAAUACAGAAGGUUUGUUUGCAUGGCUGAGGGGAGUUUUUAUGGUUGACAUUAUAAUAUUGCAUGUAUAAAAUAUGUGUAAACUAUUGAAU